rnacentral:rRNA from 1 species
AGCGAACGCUGGCGGCAGGCCUAACACAUGCAAGUCGAACGAAGUCUUCGGACUUAGUGGCGGACGGGUGAGUAACACGUGGGAACGUGCCUUUAGGUUCGGAAUAACUCAGGGAAACUUGUGCUAAUACCGAAUGUGCCCUUCGGGGGAAAGAUUUAUCGCCUCUAGAGCGGCCCGCGUCUGAUUAGCUAGUUGGUGAGGUAAAGGCUCACCAAGGCGACGAUCAGUAGCUGGUCUGAGAGGAUGGUCAGCCACAUUGGGACUGAGACACGGCCCAAACUCCUACGGGAGGCAGCAGUGGGGAAUCUUGCGCAAUGGGCGAAAGCCUGACGCAGCCAUGCCGCGUGAAUGAUGAAGGUCUUAGGAUUGUAAAAUUCUUUCACCGGGGACGAUAAUGACGGUACCCGGAGAAGAAGCCCCGGCUAACUUCGUGCCAGCCGCCGCCGUAA